UAAUACGGAGGGUGCAAGCGUUAAUCGGAAUUACUGGGCGUAAAGCGCACGCAGGCGGUUUGUUAAGUCAGAUGUGAAAUCCCCGGGCUCAACCUGGGAACUGCAUUUGAAACUGGCAAGCUAGAGUCUCGUAGAGGGGGUAGAAUUCCAGGUGUAGCGGUGAAAUGCGUAGAAAUCUGGAGGAAUACCGGUGGCGAAGGCGGCCCCCUGGACGAAGACUGACGCUCAGGUGCGAAAGCGUGGGGAGCAAACAGGAUUAGAUACCCUGGUAGUCCACGCUGUAAACGAUGUCGAUUUGGAGGUUGUGCCCUUGAGGCGUGGCUUCCGGAGCUAACGCGUUAAAUCGACCGCCUGGGGAGUACGGCCGCAAGGUUA
rnacentral:rRNA from 1 species